AGCUCAAGUGAUGAUCUUGGAUUAAUUAUUCUCACGACGGUCGUCUGAGACACUAAUUAGUGUUCUUUGUGAUGUUAAGAAUCCAAUUUUCUGAUGAUC